UGCCCCACCCCGGGCACACGAGGCCUCCACUGCGGUUGCGCAGCCUGCCGAAGAGCGUGCGGCUUCUACUGCGGCUGCGCAAGCUCGACGCGCGCACUCUUGUCUGCUUACGAGGGCUCCUCCCUUCAGCUUUGGUCCCUCGGGGCGUCUGGGCAGCCUACGCUUUCCGGAUAAAAAUGGCAGAAUGAAAGAAUUAUGAGUGGAACUAGAGAAUAGGAAAGACAUGAACCAACGCCCAAAAUGAGAAAGAAGGACAUAUAAAGAAAAAGACAAAUACAAGUGAAAAAAAUAGACUAAUGGAUUAACGUCCCUGUCGUGUGACAUUUUCUGACUGGAAUCAGCCAUUUUACCAAGAAAGUUGGGUUUCUUUUACUGGCAAAUAGUACUUCAAGAGCACAGUCUUAUGUAAGGGAGCUGUACCAAGUUAUUUUGGGUCAGAAUUCUCCUGGGAUAUCUUUUUUCUUCGCCUUUUUAAACUCGUUUAUUAUAAAAACAAUGUUACCAUAUGCAAAACUAGAAGAGUGUAAUGAAUUCCCGUGUGUCCAUCAUCUAUCUUUAACAGAAGUACAGUCUAUAUAAAGACUGUCCAGGACAAAAACUGGCCACUCCAUUCAGCAUUGACAGCAGUAUUUAAAGCUGGUGCAUGGUGAGGUGAAGUUUCUCAAGGGCAAAGACAAUGCCUUCAUGCAUGUUCAGUGUCUGCCCCCGUGGGCUUUGAAAUGAUCGCUGACAAUGGGGGAUCUGCAGUGACUUCUCUGCCUCUGCCAAAGCCCAGGGGUGCUGCUCCCUAAUUCUAAGGAUUCUAAUGAGACUCAGAGCAGGUGUAACACAGGGCAUGGAGCUUCCUGAGCAAGAGGCUGGCUAACAAACUGUGGACGUGGUACUUAGACACAUUAAGAGACAUUACAGGGACACCUGCAAGUAUGUCUCCCUGGGGAGAAGCCAAGUGCAGAUGCUAUGGCCACAGAUGAUAUGGUUUGGCUCUGUGUCCCCACUCAAAUCUCAUCUCAAGUUGUAAUCCCUGGAUGUCGAGGGAGGGACCUGGUGGGAGGUGAUUGGAUUGGUUCGCAUGAUAGUGAGGGAGUUCUCACGAGAUCUGGUUGUUUGAUAAGUGUCUGGCAUUUCUCCUGUGCUGUCUCUCCUGCCACCUUGUGAAGAAGGUGCCUGCUUCUCCUUCGCCUUCCGCCAUGAUUGUAAGUUUCCUGAGGCCUCCCUAGCAAUGCAGAACUGUGAGUCAAUUAAACUUCCUUUCUUUAUAAAUUACCCAGUCUCGAAUGGUAUCUUUAUACCAAUGUAAGAACAGACUAAUACAGACAGGGACCACAAAGCAAGAAUUUAGGGCCUGAAGAGUCUUCAGCAUUGAAAAUCUUCACUCAGAAUCCCUGGUCCCUGCAUUGAGAGCACUGGGUAGAUCACUGAACUCCC
rnacentral:lncRNA from 1 species